rnacentral:lncRNA from 1 species
AUUCACAGUCAAGUCAUGUGGAACUACACAACUUCCUUUUUGUGCAUUGGAGCUGGAAAUCUCGUUGAGUUUGGGAGGCCUUACUUCUGCAUAUUUGAAUCUGGUGACCAAAUUAAACAUUGUUCUAACUGUAGUGGUCUGAUCAUUCUACCAAGGCCAUGACUGUGAAGAGCACUGUGGGUGAUGGCUGGUGGCUCACCGGAGCCGGCUUGUGCACGGCGCCCGAAGCCAAAGAAAUCUGAAGACCCGACCUUACUAUUGGCAAAGACAGACAAACACUCUACAAAUAGUGCUUGAAAAAUGCCACUGUUUGGUUCAGAUGGUGAAGAGGAACUCAGGAAGGCCUGGCAGUCUCUAGGAGGCUAGGGCAGUGGUUCUCAAAUGAUAGGGUGUACAGAAAUUCCCUGGAGGACUUGUGACAACAAAGAUUGCUAGGCCUACUCCCAGGGUUUCUAAUUCAGCAGGUCUGGGGAUGGAGCUCAAGUAUCUGCAUUUCUAACAAGUCCCCGGUGGUGCUGAUGCUGCUUGCAUGGACCAGUUUUGAGAACCAUACUUGGAGAAACACUUGGUUAGGAAAACUAUGUCUGUUACAGAUUGAUCAAAGGGCUCUUAAGUUCCUUUUGUACAAUAAAUCACUGCGAUAUCAAAUGAGGUAAAUGAACAUGCUCUUUGAACUCUUAACUUCUAGACCAAUAUAAAACAUUCUAAAUAUGAAAUGGAAACAUUUACAAUUGUUAUUGAUUCUCAUCAAUGCAAUGUUCAAUAAAGAUAAGAAUCAC